rnacentral:lncRNA from 1 species
UUUUUCAAUCACAAACUGUGUUUGUUCUACGUUAGUAUUCAUGGUGAAGAGUAGAACACCUACACCCAAAGGAUAGCCGAUGGCUGUCAGUGAAUCAGCACCGCGAGUGUCUGCCAAAGAUCGUUUGGGACCUACAAUAAGUGUUCACGCUAGCACAGCAUCCAAACGUUCACCUGAAGAUUCUCGGCCGAGAGCAGUAAGCAAAGCUAAGCGUAAGCUAGUCUUCCC